CACGUAGGGAGCAAGCGUUGUCCGGAUUUAUUGGGCGUAAAGAGCUCGUAGGUGGUUCGGUAAGUCGGGUGUGAAAACUCUGGGCUCAACUCAGAGACGCCACCCGAUACUGCCGUGACUAGAGUCUGGUAGGGGAGUGUGGAACUCCUAGUGUAGCGGAGAAAUGCGCAGAUAUUAGGAGGAACACCAGCGGCGAAGGCGGCACUCUGGGCCAGUACUGACACUGAGGAGCGAAAGCGUGGGUAGCGAACAGG
rnacentral:rRNA from 1 species